AGAGUUUGAUCAUGGCUCAGGACGAACGCUGGCGGCGUGCUUAACACAUGCAAGUCGAGCGGAAAGGCCCUUCGGGGUACUCGAGCGGCGAACGGGUGAGUAACACGUGAGCAACCUGCCCUUAGCUUUGGGAUAACCCUCGGAAACGGGGGCUAAUACCGAAUGUUCACUUCCUGUCGCAUGGUGGGGGGUGGAAAGUUUUUCGGCUAGGGAUGGGCUCGCGGCCUAUCAGCUUGUUGGUGGGGUGAUGGCCUACCAAGGCGACGACGGGUAGCCGGCCUGAGAGGGCGACCGGCCACACUGGGACUGAGACACGGCCCAGACUCCUACGGGAGGCAGCAGUGGGGAAUAUUGCACAAUGGGCGCAAGCCUGAUGCAGCGACGCCGCGUGAGGGAUGACGGCCUUCGGGUUGUAAACCUCUUUCAGCAGGGACGAAGGGUGACUGACGGUACCUGCAGAAGAAGCGCCGGCCAACUACGUGCCAGCAGCCGCGGUAAGACGUAGGGCGCGAGCGUUGUCCGGAUUUAUUGGGCGUAAAGAGCUCGUAGGCGGCUUGUCGCGUCGACUGUGAAAACCCGUGGCUCAACCAUGUGGUCUGCAGUCGAUACGGGCAGGCUAGAAUUCGGUAGGGGAGACUGGAAUUCCUGGUGUAGCGGUGAAAUGCGCAGAUACCAGGAGGAACACCGGUGGCGAAGGCGGGUCUCUGGGCCGAUAUUGACGCUGAGGAGCGAAAGCGUGGGGAGCGAACAGGAUUAGAUACCCUAGUAGUCC
rnacentral:rRNA from 1 species